AAACCAGCUACCAGACCUUUAGGUAAUCCUUUGAGAAGAACAUACCAUGCAAAUAAUUCAAUGAGAAUUUCUCUCUUCUUCACAAUUCAAUGACACUUGCAAUGCAGAGCACCAGAUAAUCUGGCCUACAGUGGAUAUUAGUGUCCGAACAGAUUUCCUUGCAGAGGAUUGUGUUGAUUGUACUAUAGAAGAAUUAGUCUUAGUUUUAUACUUAUUAAAAUGUUCCCUGUAAGAACAAAUACGUCUUAGAGAUAGGCUCAUGUUGAAAAUUUGGGGUCAGAAUUCACUGUGGUUAAGGUGGGAUCCUCUUCCCAUCACUGAGCAAGCUGAGAGUAAAGGCAAGGAAUAAGAAAGAGCAAAAGGGAACUAGACCAUGUAGAAGAUGUCUCAGAAAGAAUGGAGGUUUUAUCUGAAUCAGUAUUAGUCUGUCAUGACAGAAGCCUGGCAAGCAAGAGCAAGAAUUUAACUGAACAUAACAAAUCUGAGGUGCACAGAAACUGGAUUUAUCAAUAAUAACAUCUGGAUUUAUCAAUAACAGUAGUUCAAUACAUUGUUCUCAGCCAUUCUCUUACAGGUCCAAGAUUUGAUGGUUUUUCCCUGAAGGAACCUGCCCGUGGACCUGAUCUGAAAGUAUUUCACACCUUUGUAUCUGGAGCAAACCAGGCAGAAAAGUGACAUGGGCCAAGAGACCUGCCUCAGGAGAGCUAUAGAUGCAAACGUCUGCAUGGCCUUUCUCCUUGUCCCUACAGGUGUCAUUGAAACCAAGGCACUGUCCCAAGGAAAUCUUCAUUUUCCAAUGAAAAAGAUGCCUUUACUGGGGUGGGAGGGGGAGCAAGCCUUGAAGUGAAAAUCUUCCGUUGGCUCAAGUAUCCACCAUGGGUCUUAAUUAGUAAUCCUUUCACUGCAAUGUAUCUCAUCAAAUUGGCCACAUGCCCUAGAAUCCCAGCCUGGCUUGGGUUGGAAGGGACCUUAAAGCUCAUCCAGUUCCAACCCCUGCCACGGGCAGGGACACCUUCCACUAGAGCAGCUUGCUCCAAGCCCUGCCCAACCUGCCCUUGCUAGAUUUUACUAAAUCCAGAGUAACUAGCCUGAAAUUGAGAUAGACAGAUGCCUUGGCACCAUGGUGAUGGUUGCCUUAGAAAUAAACAAAUACCCAAGGUGGAUGGAUGGAUAGAUUUCUGCCUGUGUAGCAGGGAGCUGAUUCGGGCCUGGUGCUUGCUGCAUGGCACAUUGAUUUCCAGUCUUAUCCACGGGCUUCUUCCAUCUCUUAGGCAACUGUUUGGGCUUAUUUAUAUUCCUGCCGAGAUGUAAAAACAACAGCCUGCAAAGUUAUCUUUCCUGGUUAUCUUUAUUGUUUGCAUAGCACAGAUUUCCCUCGAUGCAACAUGUGGGGGUUUUAUUCUCCCUUGAAAACAGCCUGGACUUUGUUUAGGGAAGAGAAGAACAUAGCCAGCACUGAAAUACAUUUAUGAAGCUUGUUAACCUCCAGCUUCAUUGCUCUGUCCCAGUGACCUUUCUGUCAUCACUGUGGAGCCCUGUUAUCCAUGACUGUAAACCUGGGGCAUUUCUUCAGUGACCUGAGCAGGGUUUGCUUUGAAGUCAGGUUUCCUAUUUCGCUGGCAUGGAUUUCUUUUGGUCUGAAUUGGAAAGAGAACAAAAACACAGGAAAAGGUCCCACAUCAGGGCAAACAAAAUACUUCAUUUUGAUGUAAUCGGGAUGUUUGGGCCCUACUGCAAUUCUGUGCUUCAUCAUAAGAGGAAAUUCCAGCACCUCUGGAGUCCUCUGACCUCCCUGAAAUACUUUGGUUCAAUCUUUUUAUCCAAUGCUGAAAUUUGUCAAAGCAGCACUUCCCUGGAGGAAAAAUUCUACUCUGAUAAACAGGCGUUUUCCAAGAGAGAUAUACCCCAUCCGCAAACAUUCCCCAACCCUAGUAAUGGUGCUUCAGAGGAUGUUAUUAUUCAAGCCUAGCUUUCUAGCAGCAGAUGUCUGUCACUAGCCUCUAGAUAAUUCGGAUGGAUGAUCACAGAAGUGCAGGAAUGACUCGUGCACAACACAUUCUGAGAGGAUCAGAUGCUUAGUUGAAGCCUCGUGCCCCAGGGCAAGGUCCAAGAGGGCCAGGCCUCCUACCAGGCUAUAAUAAGGGGGAAAAUUCCCUGACAAAAUAGGGGGUGAAUGUCAACCAUUGUUGCUUCAUUUUGUAAUCCAUAGUCCAACAAACAGCGAAUAAUCCCAUGGUGAAUAUGAUCUGAUGCUGGUCUAGGAGUUCUCUCAGUGCAGCCUCGAUGAAGCCUUCUCCUCUUGCUGUCAUCGUGUCUGAUCUUGGCAAAGAACAGCUUCAGCAUUUGUUCACUGACGUCCGGUGCCACUCUCUGUUUCUCCCGAUGCCUCAUGUUUCCUGUUUCAUGGGCUGAGCUCUGAUGUGUCCCUCUCUUUUUGUAUGCAAUUAAAAUCUGGAGCCAAGCAGCCAAUUUCCAUGGGCAUCGUCAUAGUCUGCUCUUCCAGUGAUGCCUCAUCAGAGGAUCUCAGAACAUUUUGCAACCAUUCAUUAAUAAGCCAGCCACCUGUCUUGGAAGACAGGCAGAAUUAUUCCUUAACUGCAAGUAAGUAAAAUAAGGACACAGACAUUAGCUGGGUUGCCAGAGACCAUAAAAAGCCUUUGUCCUUGCAUGACCCCGUGCUUUGUAACUGGUAUCUUGACAGAGGUUUUUGGAGCCUUAUGCAGAUGCAGCAGCUGGCGGUCAAAUAAAAUACAUCCCUGUAAUGCCUA